rnacentral:lncRNA from 1 species
CAAGGAAGUUGACAUGUCAUCACUUCAUUUUUUUGCGCCUGCGCAUAAAUCUGAGAAACGUGAGUUUGUCAUCAUUUUUUAUCUAGACAUAGGAUAGGUUGUGUGAAAAUAUUACUGAUGUUUAACGUUAAAAAUGGACCAAAAGAUUAAUGCUAAACAACAUUUGACAUGUUUGAACGAACAUAAAUAGAUUAUUUACUAGGUUUUUUUAGCUUUUCGGCGUGAUUUUACCAGCCCCCCAACCACGUUUUGUGGGAGCAUAAUGAACGCUAAGUACUUGGUGUUAUUUGGACAUAAAUUAUGAACUUUGUCAAAAGAAACCACAUUUGUUCCGGACCUGGAAUGCCUUCCGGACCUGGGAUCCUGCCUUCUGAUGGAGAUAAUCAAAGCCGUUACAGAAUUACCCACCACAAGAAGACCAAGCAGCGGAGAAGAGGGCAGAUGGAAGUCAAGGAGGACUAUAGGAAGCAGUGCGCUCGGGAGGAGAUGGCAUCCUGGUCGCUGGAAGUAUUGGAGGCAAGAAUAGACUGGACUUGGGAACAGCUAUUUGACCAUUGCAGCAACCUGCCGGGGAGGCAGGUAGAGCCCGAGAGGCAGCCCCAAAUAUUUUUUUGGGGGGGGCACACGGGGAGUGUGGCAGAGUCAGGUUGGAGACCUGAGCCAGCUCCCCGUGCUUACAGGAGUCAACGUAGUACUGGUCAGGCACCGUGUGAACCGUGUGAACUCUUUGGCCUGAAUGCCAAGUGUCAAGUCUGGAGGAAACCAUCCCUAUGGUGAAGCAUGGUGGUGGUAGCAUCAUGCUGUGGGGAUGUUUUUCAGCGGCAGUUACUGGGAGACUAGUCAGGAUCGAGGGAAAGAUGAACGGAGCAAAGUACAGAGAUCCUUGAUGAAAACCUGCUCCAGAGCACUCAGGAGGCGAAGAUUCACCUUCCAACAGGACAACGACCCAAAGCACACAGCCAAAACAACGCAGGAGUGGCUUCGGGACAAGUCUCUGAAUGUCCUUGAGUGGUCCAGCCAGAGCCUGGACUUGAACUCAAUCUAACAUUACUGGAGAAACCUGAAAAUAACUGUGCAGCGACACUCCCCAUCCAAUCUGACAGAGCUUGAGAGGAGCUACAGAGAAGAAUGGAAGAAACUCCCAAAAUACAUGUGUGCCAAGCUUGUAGUGUCAUACCCAAAAAGACUUUAGGCUGUAAUCGCUGCUAAAGGUGCUUCAACAAAGUACUGAGUAAAGGGUCUGAACACUUAUGUAAAUGUGAUAUUUCAGUUGAACAUUUUUAAUACAUUUCUAAAAACGUUUUGCUUUCAAAUGAUGGGUUAUUGUGUGUAGAUUGAUGAGGGGAAACAACAUUUCAAUCAAUUUUAGAGUAAGGCUGUAACGUAACAAAAUGUGAAAAAAGUCAAGAUGUCUGAAUACUUUCUGAAUGCAAGAAUCUCGGCCAUCAGCCAAGUGAUCAUUGAUCGGGACGGGCUGCCAAUACCAGAAGAGAACAUUCAUGUCCAUUGAUCCCACAGCACGUGACCGUGUGUGUGUGUGUGUGUGUGUGUGUGUGUGUAUGUGUGCGUGCAUGCGAGUGUGUGUGUGUGUGUGCCUGUAUGUGUUAGUGAUGUACUGUAUAUGUCAGUGUGUAAACAGAAACAAAAGGCUUAAAGUGAAUUGUAGAUACAUUACAAAUGGUAACAGUGAAAUAAGCAGAGCUUACUCGAGUGAUUGUCUUCAUAGAUGGGUAAAAUGUAUCCUCUCACCUUACUCAAUAAAAC